UACGUAGGGACCGAGCGUUGUCCGGAAUCAUUGGGCGUAAAGAGCGUGUAGGCGGCCUUUUAAGUCCUGCGUGAAAUCCUGCGGCUCAACCGCAGACGGUCGUGGGAAACUGGAAGGCUAGAGUGCGGGAGAGGAGAGUGGAAUUCCCGGUGUAGCGGUGAAAUGCGCAGAUAUCAGGAGGAACACCAAUUGCGAAGGCAGCUCGCUGGAACGUAACUGACGCUGAGACGCGAAAGCGUGGGGAGCAAACAGG
rnacentral:rRNA from 1 species